UAUAGGAGUAUGAGAUAUGCGUACGUUGUCAUGACUACAGCCAAUGGGAACGCAAGAACUGUGUGUUAAUUAGACAUGUCCGUCCUAGUCUAGACAUCAAAGGUUUGUCCGCUUUCCUCGCGUGGAGUUGUUCACAAGACGCAGUCAGCCAUGUCAACUCCCAGGCUCGCCAGCUAAGGGGUUAACGUGGUCAGUGAUGCACAAAGGCAGGAUUAUGUUGGAGUGCUUCCCGCCUCAUUCGCUUGGACUGCAAAUAACAGGAUGUGCUCCUUCGCCACAAAAGUCCAUCCGAAUCCUCAGCGCGUGGAAGUCUUGAGACUGAGAUCCUUGGACAUCGUCUCUCGCAGCCUGACAUCGCAGUCAUCGUCUGACAUCGCCUGACAUAGUCUGACAUCUCCUGACAUCUCCUGACAUCGCUGACAUCGUCUGACAUCGCCUGACAUCGCCUGACAUCGUCUGACAUCCCCAUAAUGUCGACACUGAGGACGACCACGUGUCUUCUUGCUGUUCUUAUGCUUGUUACCAUGGUUUCGACAAAAGUCAGGGUUAUUCUGUACCCUUCAUGCGAAGAGCUCGGAUCAUUGACAUCCUCCUUCGACAAAAAUGUCAAAAGAUGCAUCGCCAAGGCGUCAAGCUGCCAUUUUCUGCCUAAAGGUCGUCCAGUCACCUGCCACGGCUAUCUGACACUAGAUGACAGCUGGACGCCUGCUGCCGUCGGUAGAUGACAGUUGGAAGCCUGCUGCCGCCUGUAGAUGACAGCUGGACAGCUGCUGCCGCCAGUAGAUGACAGCUGGACGCCGGCUACCGUCUGUAGAUGACAGCUGUGCCUGCGAGACAGCGAUCUGAGAGCACCCUGGGUGCCGACACUACAAACAGGAGCCCUGUAGUCGUCGAGACUUUGGGGGUACCUGUGUCAUCCUACCUGUACACAAUGACUUACAUUUCUCAGAGAGGACUCAAGUCUUUUAUCACUUUAUAAACGAUUGUGUAAACAAUGUCGGUAUACAUGUGUUCGGCAAGGUAUUGCUUAGAACUCUCUUCCUAAUCUGUGUUUGCUUACAAAAAGAACAAGCCAGCUGAACGAUGUUUAGGCCUAAGGGCAUGAUGUUUAUGAAAGACUAUCCUAUACGGUUGCAUGUGAGUGUUUUCUUAUUUUUUGUUGUUACUUGCCUUCAAACGCGCGCAGAAUUGUGUGUAUCGACAUGGGACUCGUGCGUUAGGUUUAAAAUUUGACCUUUGAUUACAACUUUGCUUUUUCCCUGUAUGAAUGUUAUUUAUAUUGUAAAAUUAUGUUUGUAAUGUCAACACUUUACCUUCAGAAUCUAAGAAAGAAUUUUAUUAAACGGAAAAUAAAUUUCAACGAAAUGCGUUUUUUUGUAAUACUGUUAUUUAUACCUAAACUCACGUGUUUACUAGGAGGACGCAGUGGUCAUUUUCGAGGGAAAGUCGCCUAUAAAUAGCACAACCCAUGCCCAUGUCCAGGUCACACGUGAGCAGCACGUGCAGGAUCAGAAAUUCGAGGACGUGUGUAGGUGGACUGCUGUCUGUCUGCCGAGACCAUCACUAAGCCUCUUGCAAAGUUCCGCUGUUAGUCUCGGCGAGCCUAAACAAAGAAUGUGGCUAAACCGGAAGCUUUGUACACAGCAGCCUCGUUUUAGUAGUCAACUGGAAAAUAAAUCGUCUGCCAGCAGUCCAGUAAUACACGUUCGUGGCUGAAUAAGGACCGUGAUACAGCUUUCAGAGUACCAGUUGGCGGCCAUUACUGAGAGAUGGCACACCAGCAGGCAGAGCUGUCCGACACAUGUCCGAUGACAUUUUAACCGAUGCUAAAAAACCCCAAACAACUCCUAAAUAAAAUAUCCCUAUCAUCCGGUUCAUGAAGGCAGUUUCUUAACAAUACUUGUUAACUCCACAAGUGUUCUGAAGACAGCUCGUCCUGUCAAAGACAGGAACCACAUCUUCAUUUUUCUCCAUUUGAACUUUGAUUAUAAAGACACCAAAAAUAGAAAUUCCAAUCUCCAUUUUUCUUCCUUUGAACUACUAUGAAGACUGUUGAUGACAUCAAAGGUAGGAACCACAACCGUCACGUCUCUCUAUCUCUACAAUAAAACUGUUGUUGUGUAGACAGCUGUGUUAUCACAGAUGAAAUGUCCGCCGCCACUAAACUUCGUCUCUCACUUUAACUACUUUGACAGCUGCUGCCACACAGACGUCUUCGUCUCUCGCCUUUAACUACUUUGACAGCUGCUGCCACACAGACGUCUUCGUCUCUCGCCUGUUGAUGUCUUCUCUCAUCUUUUCCACCUAUUUGAGCUCACUUACUCUCUUGUUCGGCUGGCGGUCGUUAUUGUGUCAUUAAAUGUUGAUAACUGCAAUCGCCUUUCAUCAUCAUCGUCGUCGUCGUCGUCGUCGUCGUCUUCGUCAUCAUCAUCAUCGUCGUCGUCGUACCGUCAUUUAACCGCCUUCUGGCCACCUUGAUGGCAGAAUGAUUGCGCUUGACGGAAUGUUUAUCGAUGAGACACCUGUCGUAUUGGAAACCGUGAAAGUAUAUAUCACAGGCGUACACAGGUUUAUGUACCUUCAUACGGGUAUUUGCCAAUCGUGAAGACAGACACCAUUGUAGUCCCCGCCCCUCCCGUGUGGCUAUAAAAGACAGAUGGUGAAUCUUCUCGACAGAGGUCGAUUGACAUCCUUCGAGUUUGGAAGCGCCUUGAAACUAUCGUCGUCUGUGAUCGUCUGACAUCGUCUGUCAUCAUCUGACAUCGUCUGACAUCGAAGCAUCGUCGACAAUGAAGAUCGCCUGCCUCGUUGCUUUACUGAUACUCGCCACACUGUCCUCAACACAAGGCAGCAGCACCAUCUCACCAUUCUUUGACAAACUCAAAGAGUCAAACGAUCGUGAAAACGAAUUGUGCAAGACGAACCCGAACUCACCGUUCUGUUCAAAGGGGAGAGCUGUCCGUCAGGAUGUCCAUCAUGGGUCCACACACCGACCACUCCACGAGCGGGGGGCUGCCCUUGAUGACGACAACACUCGCUCUGGUGAUGAUGUGAUGUAGAUGUCAACACCUACAUCACCUCUACCUGAUCUGCUGACGACAUCAUUCAGUACUGUUCAUUCCCUUUCAAAGUUAACUCGGCAUCUGCAAUGUUGCAAUGUUCCACUGGACGACAAGAUGUCAGCAAAAACCAACUUUACUAAGUACAUUAAGUAGGAUGGUCUUGCUGAAAUAAAAAGUGAUAUUAUCAGA